rnacentral:misc_RNA from 1 species
GCAACUUUAGCAAUAGAAGGGGUAGAGAUUGUAAGUGGGCUAGCUUAGAUCGCAAAGCACACAUUUCAGAUAUCUAGGCUCUACCAUACAGAGAGAUGGGAAAUUUAGGAGGAUGUCAACCAUAUGCUUAAAGCAGGAUAGGUGAAGAGGUAAAAUGCAACAGGAAUCCUAUGCGUUCGAAAAAUACUUGCUAAGUUGAAGAGAAAACUAUAUACGACCAUGAUUUGAC